GAUGAACGCUGGCGGCGUGCCUAAUACAUGCAAGUCGAGCGAACAGACGAGGAGCUUGCUCCUCUGACGUUAGCGGCGGACGGGUGAGUAACACGUGGAUAACCUACCUAUAAGACUGGGAUAACUUCGGGAAACCGGAGCUAAUACCGGAUAACAUGUUGAACCGCAUGGUUCAACAGUUAAAGUCAGUCUUUCUGUCACUUAUCGAUGGAUCCGCGCCGCAUUAGCUAGUUGGUAAGGUAACGGCUUACCAAGGCAACGAUGCGUAGCCGACCUGAGAGGGUGAUCGGCCACACAGGAACUGAGACACGGUCAAGACUCCUACGGGAGGCAGCAGUAGGGAAUAUUCCGCAAUGGGCGAAAGCAUGACGGAGCAACGCCGCGUGAGUGAAGAAGGUCUUCGGAUCGUAAAACUCUGUUAUUAGGGAAGAAAAAAUGUGUAAGUAACUAUGCACGUCUUGACGGUACCUAAUCAGAAAGCCACGGCUAACUACGUG
rnacentral:rRNA from 1 species